rnacentral:rRNA from 1 species
AUUGAACGCUAGCGGCAGGCUUAACACAUGCAAGUCGAGCGAGCGGCGGACGGGUGAGUAAUGUCUGGGAAACUGCCUGGUGGAGGGGGAUAACUACUGGAAAGAGUAGCUAAUACCGCAUACCAUCAGAUGUGCCCAUAUGGGAUUAGCUAGUAGGUGGGGUAAUGGCUCACCUAGGCAACGAUCCGUAGCUGGUUUGAGAGGAUGACCAGCCACAAUGGAACUGAGACACGGUCCAGACUCCUACGGGAGGCAGCAGUGGGGAAUAUUGGACAAUGGGGGCAAGCCUGAUGCAGCCAUGCCGCGUGUGUGAAGAAGGCCUUCGGGUUGUAAAGCACUUUCAGCGAGGAGGCGUUACUCGCAGAAUAAGCACCGGCUAACUCCGUGCCAGCAGCCGCGGUAAUAC